AUUGAACGCUGGCGGCAGGCUUAACACAUGCAAGUCGAACGAGUGGCGGACGGGUGCGUAAUGCUUGGGAAUCUAGCUUAUGGAGGGGGAUAACUACGGGAAACUGUAGCUAAUACCGCGUACCAUAGGCUGAGCCCAAGUGGGAUUAGGUAGUUGGUGAGGUAAAGGCUCACCAAGCCGACGAUCUCUAGCUGGUCUGAGAGGAUGACCAGCCACACUGGAACUUGGAAAGGGCCCGGACUCUAACGGGAGCUGGUGGGGGGGAAUUUUGGCCUAUGGGGGCAAGCCUGUUGCAGCCAUGCCUGGUGUGUGAAGAAGGCCUUCGGGUUGUAAAGCAUUUUCAGCGGGGAGGCGUUACUCGCAGAGGAAGCACCGGCUAACUCCGUGCCAGCCUCCGCGUAAUUC
rnacentral:rRNA from 1 species